CAUGAGAGAUCAGAUGGAUGUGAUGUGCUGUAAAUCAGUAGGAACUGAUCUGUCCAUGCUGGAUAUUGAUGAUUUGAUGACAGAAAUCUCUCAGCUGAAGAAAGAGGUGGCGUUACUGGAGUCAAAGCUCAGACAGAGAGAUGAACCGAACGCAAAGGAUGUAUCUGGUGUUUCUCUCUGUGGCUUUACUGAUCAAACAUCUACAGAGCUUCUGGUUUCUGUCUGUAAUGAAGACCAGACAACAUCAGUGAAUCUGCUGGACUGUGGGAUAGAAGUGAAACAAGAAGUCACAGAAGCAGAUGAAGGUUAUUUGAUUUAUUCAGAUCAGAAAGUGGUAAAGGAGGAAAUUUUACAACUCAAUAAAAUGGAGGAGAAACCUCAUCAUUUGAUACCCAAUGAAGAAUCUCUGAGCUGCUUAAGUACUGUGCAGAAUUUGUCACAAAAGGCAACAGUCAAGGAUGCUCUUAUGUGCUCUCAGUGCGGAAAGACCUUCACCAAGAAAUGUUAUCUUAAUCAGCACAUGAAAAUUCACACUAGAAAAGAGCCUUACAGAUGUGAUCAGUGUGGAAAGAACUUCAUUCGUAAGUCUGACCUUAAUGGGCACAUGAGAAUCCAUACUGUAGAAAAGCCUCACACAUGUGAUCAGUGUGGAAAGAGUUUUAAGAAUAAAUGGCACCUUAAUGACCACACAAGAGCCCACACUGGAGAAAAACCUUACAGAUGUGAUCAGUGUGGAAAAAACUUCAUUCGCAAGCCUGAACUGAAUAAGCACAUGAAAAUUCACACUGGAGAAAAACCUUACAGAUGUGAUCAGUGUGGAAAGAGCUUCAGGGGUACGUGGAACCUUAAUCAGCACAUGCAAAUUCACACUAGAGAAAAGAUUACACAGUGUGAAAAGAGGGCCAUUGGUAUGCUUGAUCUCAACGGGCACAUGAGUAUUCACACUGGAGAAAAGCCUUACAGAUGCGAUCAGUGUGAAAAGAGCUUCUUUCGGAAGUUCCAUCUCAACAGGCACAUGAGAAUUCACACUGGAGAAAAGCCUUACAGAUGUGAUCAGUGUGGAAAUAGCUUCAUUCGGAAGUGUGAUCUCAACAGGCACAUGAAAAUUCACACUGGAGAAAAACCUUACAGAUGCGAUCAGUGUGGAAAGAACUUCAUUCGUAAAACCCAUCUCAAGAGGCACAUGAAAAUUCAUACUGGAGAAAAGCCAUACAGAUGUGAUCAGUGUGGACAGAGCUUCCUUCGUAAGUGUGAUCUCAAGAGGCACAUGAAAAUUCACACUGGAGAAAAACCUUACAAAUGUAAGCAGUGUGGAAAGAGCUUCAUACGUAAGGCCCAUCUCAAAAGCCACAUGAGAAUUCACACUGCAGAAAAGCUUUAAAAAGCACCUACUCUCCUGACUUGCACAUUUAAAGAGUUCAGAUACAAAAGCCACCAAACGCCACCUCCAUCAAUUAUGAGAUAAUUAUAUUAACCGAAUGCUAUUGGCAAGUAUUAUAUGGCAAGGAUCACUAAAUACUUCUGCUUGGCUUAAUCCCAGCCUCAGGCCAUUCAGAAAUAACAGUUUGUUGGCAGAAUCCAUUAAGAGUCUGAUAGAAAUUAACACUGGGUUUGCAAACCGCUCACCCGCUGACUAAAAUGAUGGCUAAACAGGUAGUCACACUACACUUUUCAUAACAUUGACUUCCAUUCAUAUGCAUGCUAGUGCACAGAUAUUUUGCUGCAUACCAAAGUUCAAGUCUGGUGAACUCUGUCCUGCAAAUUCGUAUCACAGGGAGAUAUAUGACCAGAAAAAAACAGUUGUCCUUACCAUUUUCUUCACUCCGGUGGCACAGUGCAACCCGCGGUGGUUAAUUGCAAUCUGCGGUGGUGUGCACGUCAAAAACUUUGAAAAAUAUAAAGUACAAUCCAGCAGACUCUGUGUUAGUGCGCUAUUUGCAAGGGGAGUGAUGACUCGCUGGCUUGGGGGCGGAACAAUGAGGCAAGUUAUUUUCUCUCGGACAAGGUUGCGAAAAAGUAUCAAUCUGCACUACCAGUACACCAUCAGUGUUGUUUCAUGGAUAGAAGUGCUACAAUAAACAAGCACAUAGGCACCAAUCCCAUGGGUUCUCCAGGACUCUGCUCGAGCACCCACCGAAAUGCCCAAGUACAUGGUCUCAAUUGCUUCACAUUUGCUUCACAUUUUACAUUUAAAUUUAGGCAUUUAGCCGAUGCUUUUAUCCAAAGCGACUUACAAAGAUAAGGAAACAAUCAAGUCAUUUGUCAUAAGGAGGCAAUAAUACAAGAGGUGUCUAUGGCCCAGUUAUACGGCAGAGAGGUUUUGGGGAAAGCCCAGAGUAUUUUAUCGGAUGAUUCCCACCCUAUGUUUAAUGAGUUUGACCUUCUCCCCUCAGGCAUUAGGUACAGGAUCAUUAUUAGCAAAACAACUCGUUUUAAACAUUUAUUUUUCCUAUCAGCUGUGAAACUUUAAAUAUGAGAUAAGGUAUUUUAAAUUCCUUUGUGAAUUGGGUGGAUGUUUUGUGUUUUUAUGUUCUGUGUGAUAUACUUGUAUGCUGCAACAAAAUUGCCUUCAGGAAAUGAAAUAAAGUUGAAGUGAACUGAACUGAACAAAUUACAAGUUUUCACAAUUCCUAAACAAUACCUGUUAAGAGAGAACAUGACCGUCCGCGUGCAGCCCAAAAUUUGAGACCGCGCGGACAGUGCGCGGACAGUCCGCGUACGACAGCGCAUGCGCGUGAAAAUAUUUAGACAGGACACUCCACUAUAAACAAUUAUACAAAGGAAAUAGACAGCAUUUGCACACACACUAUCGUUUUUCUUCUUUAACUUUUACUUCUUCCAAGAACAGAAAGCUGUGGAGCAUGUUUGUUUGAUUCCUGUUCUUUGUUGUCUUCUUGUUUGUUCUAAACUGUGUUUGCAAUGGUGGAUCAGUUACUUUUCUUCACCUAUCCUAAUGUUUUAAUGUACUGUACAUGUCGCCAAAUCAGUGCUGCCCUGAGAGCCUGUUAGACUAAUAAUUUGAAUAAGAAAUCAUUUGUAUUGCGUGUAGUGUCGAACGCGGCCAUCCGCGUGUAGCCGCGGGGACUAUACCCGGAAAGCUGCGCGGACGCGUGCGCGCGCGAGCCGGACGCAGACGCGGAAAAAAGUAUACCCGGCCCUUGAUACCUAUCAUAUUCGCCUUAACAUCCGAAUAAUUUUUGCAUGCUAAAACUCUAGUGUGGCCUCCUCUUAAGUGCUUAUGUAGUAUUUUGCUUUAGACUUAAAUUUCAAGUAUGGUCCAUUUUUUUAUGCAUUUUUUUUAUGCAUCCUCGAGGAGCCAUAUACAGCGAGCAUGACUAGUCUAGUAUGUAGCCCAGGAGAUGCAUUGCGUCUGUGUACCCUUACGAGUAAAAUAAACUUCGCAGGGCUGUGCAUUUGUCUUCCAUCAUUCAACUUUGGUCCCAGACACAGCCAGCACGUGGGCAAUGUAAGCCAACCUCUCAUCUGCGCUACUUUGUUGGCAUCGGUUUGGUGUGUCGUUGUCCUUAAGAAGUAACAACAGCCAACUUGACCGAUCACAGCGUUUCAGAAGAAAGGUUUCAUAGAGUCUGGAAGUAACAUACUGGAAAGAGAAGCUCUAGAAUAAUGUAAAAUAUUUGAAAAAAAAAUGUGACGACAGUGUUGGGCAAUCAGAGGUCGAUAAAUAAGAGGUUUGUGUACUUUAACUUUACAAGAUGAUCCUAACGUCUCUGCAGUUUGGAAUCAAACCUUUAAGUUCACGGUGUGAUUGACUUUGAGGUUUUACUACAGCCUUUUUCUUGUUUUUGUAUUUUUAAAUGAUUUGGAUAUAUUUUAUUAUUAUAACGUCAUGUAAAGGUUUUUUGUUUGAAAUUUUGUAUAUAGUUAACGCUGUUAUGUAUUCUCAGGAGAUUUGAUUCAUUUGAACGUAUUGCUGUCACUUUGGCAUUAUCCACUGCUUUGUUUAAAAAAUAAUUGUACAAUAAAGCUGAAAUCCAACCUGAAUGUUGACAUUGACAAAGGAGAAUAAUGUACAAUCUAUCACUAGAUCAUCAAAUCUUUAUAAUAGUAUUAGUUUAUUUUACAUUUAUAUAUUUUUAACAAAACCUUUGCUCUCUAGAAACCAUUUCAGUUGAAAUUUAAGUUCAAGUAUACCUGUAGAAAUACCAACAGGACAUGUAUGAUAAAAUUUGGUCAUGUUGAACAAUAACAGGAAUAUCAAAGCUUGAAAGUAAAUUGUUUUUGCAGUAUUGUCUAUUGAAAAAUUCAAAAGUGGAUAGAAAGCAACACCAGUCCCCGUCCUCUGUUGUCACGGCUGUUAAGGCAGUCACAGGUGGAGCUGAUUUUCCUAUUGAAUGUAAGAAUAAACAUAAGGCAUUUUUAAUUCUAUCAUGACCAAACUUUAAGGAGCGGUUUCCAGGAAAGGAAUUAGACUAGUCUAAACUAAAUGUAAGAACUGUCCAAACUGAAAACAACUUGCACCGACAUAUCUUAAAAUUCAUCAGUGCCUUUUGUUUUACCUCAGAAUGCCACAGAAGGCAUUUUUGUUAAAACUAGUUAUAUUUUCAUAAUUAAACUAAGGCCUAGUCCUAGCUUAAGCUAAUCCAUGUCUGGGAAUCCACCCCAUAAUAAAUUAAACUAUGAAAUCAUAAUAAAGCCUAGUUUAAUUUAUUAUGGGGUGGAUUAAUUUCCAGUAAGCUUUUUGCUUCACGUGAGCUUUUUGCUGACUGAAUUAAGCAAAAAAUACUAACAGAUCCUUGCUCGAUGAACUAAACCAGACUCUUCUGACGACCAACGGUCACUAGAUAUUUUAACAUUUUAUUCAGAGUACUUGUUUAUUAAAACAUUUUGUGCUGUUGAAAUGCACGUGCAGAUGAAUUCUCUGUAAAUCCUGAGCUCUUGAAUUAUUCACUUGACUGAACUUUUAACGAAUUUGUAAAACAAAAACUGUCAGCUGUUUCUCCUUUAAACUAAUAAAUACAGUAAUGGAUAUUUCGCUUGGUUGCCCACUUAUGAGGUAACUGAGGUAAAUCGUAGGGAUCUGUGUGUAACUAUGGUAAAUGACUGUUGUCAAGCAGCUGUUGCGUCACGCUCCCGUCCAGCAGAUGGCGCAAACUCACCGCGUGUUACAUAAAACAACAGAUGAAGAAGAAGAGAAGCUCACGAGCAGCUGUAAGUGUUGUGUUUGCUUUUUAUUUGUGUGUGAAUAAUGUUUGUAUCUUUGUGGUAAACAAAGUUUUAUUCUCGUUUUCAAUUUAAUGUUUAUUUUAAUUGCCGUUGAUUUUUGUACCAGGCAGAGUUUUCAGAGUUGUUUCUGUAGUCCGAAAGGUUUUGUUUCUUGAUUUAACAAAGUUGCAGUCGUUUAUAAUUCUAUGGAAAUUAUGUUUUUGUGUUAAUAUUAUAAUGGUGAUGUUUUUGUAUUCAGAUGUUCAUCAUGAGAGAUCAGAUGGAUAUGAUGUGCUGUAAAUCAAAGCUCAGAGAGAGAGAUAAUCCGAACAGAAAGGUUGUAUAAGUUAAAGAGCCCCUAUUUUUAAUUUCAUGACUUUAAUUUAUUCCUUUUUUGGUGUGUAAGUUGAUUGGCAAAUUUGAUCAAAAUUGUCAUCUGCAUUUUUUUGAUCAGAUUCGGGCUUGUAUUGAUGGGGUAGUAUGAUGAUAUUACCUCCUGUUGGGAGCUUUCAAAUCUUCCAAAUAUGUUAAUGAGCGCCACAUUUCCAUCACUUGUUUGAAGUAUUCUGCCAGUAACAAUACACUGGAUAGCUGGCCAUUUGGAGCACACACUAUACAAAAUGAUUAGCUUUGUAAAAAAUUAACAUGUUUUAGAAAGGUGGGGCAUAGAGGAGCAAAAAUAAUGUACGGUAUGAGGAAAAUAAUGUGGGUUUUUUUACCAUAAACCAUGCAAAACAUUUGUUUUUCACAAAAUAACUAUUUUUAGAACGCAAUAAAGGCUCUUUAAAACACUUAAACACUCUUUGUUAUCAUGAUUGAGGUUUUUGUGUUUAGUGUUGAAAUCUCAGUGAAUGACACAGUAUUGAUCCUAUAAUGAAAGUACAUCAUCACAACCUGUUUAAACAGUCACUGGACCAAUGUUUUAGUCUCUCCUAAGUGGUUUGUGUAUAUAAUAAAAUGCUUAACUAAAAUAAAAAGUUGAGUUUCUUUAUAUCCUUAUUGACAUGGGACAUUACUGUUACAUUAACAGUAAGAGUUUAGGUUUUUUCAACCUCAAAUUUAUUACAGUCACUUUGAAUU